GCGGUAUCGGGGAGUAAAGUAGCCACACGGUGUGUCUGUCCCACCAGGCAUUCGCUCGAAUCUAACCAACCGACGCUGAGCAGGGAUCGGAUAAAGACGCGUUCUGUGGCAUCUGCCAAAACUCCCGACCACUCCGCUCACAAUUGUCAACGGAGAGACAGUAGCCCGCAAACAGCGGACACCUGACAGGCAACAGAAGGGAUAAAGCAAGAGGCAACAUAAUACAUUUAGCCGUAAAAUGCAACAGUCUUUGUUGGAUUAAAACAUCAUUCAAAGAUAAGCGUCGUAUAGGCAGUGAAACAAGGACGAACGCCGGUGCUGAAGCUGAACUGCGACUAGGGAGGUGUAGACGGGAAUACUCAAAAGAUCGAAUUUGUCUGAUGAGAAUCGCCAUCCACCAGAGACCUAAGGCAGAGGAAGUGAUGUCCGGUCACCACAACCGCUUCGAGAGGGAGUACCGGGGGACACCGUGGGAGAGGCGGGACAUCGUCCGUUCGGCCGGCCUCCUCAAUGGAGCGGGAGCCAAUAACAGCUGCGCCGCCGCUGUCGGCAAUGGAAACAACCGUCCGGGACUCCUCCCACUGCCCGUCAUCCCCUCCCUCCUGCCCACCCCGGUUACGGUUGCUGUGACGACGUCGAGUGGGGGUGACAUGGUUGUCAAGCGUCAAGGAGGGGUCACAAUCGCUGUCGCUGGUUCUGCCAAGGUGUCAGGUGGGUCUCCAGGGGAGAGGGAGAGCCAGGCUCCAGGUCUGCUGUUAGCGCCAGGGGUUAAGUGGGGACAGACGCCCAUCAACCAGCUCACACCCUGGGAGACUGAAGAACCCCCUGCCAAACAGCAGCACAGAGAUAGUGAACCCACAGCUUAGUCCUCCCAUCAGCAUGCAACAGCAGGAACUGGGAUUCAUCAUACCAGGGGAUGUUUUUUCCAGUUCUCCAAUGUCCGGUGUUUUUGUUCCUCAGCCCAUUGCAACUGCAGUUUCUUGUUUUUUGCUGAAAUAAGUGGAACUCUAAGGUCGUCAACUGACAUACCACAUUCGUGCUAAGGUACGACGAUUUGUGCAUUCUUUUAUGGGUCUUUGGGCACCAAUGUUGUAAUGGACUGUCGGUUGACUGACUGUAGCCUGUUUGUUGCUCUGGACAAUUCGUGUCAGCCUCCUUUGUCCUCUCAUCAAUGAACUGUUUUUGACCACUGGCCUGCCGUUGGCUGGAUGUCCUUUGGGUGGUGGACCAUUCUUGAUACACACAGGAAACUGUUGAGCGGGAAAAACCCAGCAGCGUUGCAGUUCUUGACACACUCAAACCAGUGCACCUGGCACUUAAUCCAUACCCUGUUCAAAGGCACUUCAAUAUGUUGUCUUGCCCAUUCACCCUCUUGAUUGGCACACAUACACAAUCUGUCUUAUUUGUCUCAAGGCUUAAAAGUCCUUCUUUAACCUAUCUCCUCCACUGUACAUCCACAUCCACACUGUACAAAAAUAUGAAUUCAAUACAGUUGAUCAGGCUGUUGAUUGUGGCCUGUGUAAUGUUGUCCCACUCUCCAGUGGCUGUGCGAAGUUUCUGGAUAUUGGCAGGAACUAGAACACAUCGAUCAAGGGCAUCCCAAACAUACUCAAUGGGUGACAUGUCUGGUGAGUAUGCAGGCCAUGGAAGAACUGGGACAUCUUCAGUUUCCAGGUAUUGUGUACAGAUCCUUGCGACAUGGGGCUGUGCAUUAUCAUGCUGAAACGUGAGGUGAUGGCGGCGGAUGAAUGGCACAACAUUGGGCCUCAGGAUCUCGUCACGGUAUCUCUGUAACUCUGUGCAUUCAAAUUGCCAUUGAUUAAAAGGCCAUUGUGUUCGUUGUCGGUUAAGACGCUGUACUGCAGUCAGGUUAAGACCAUGGUGUGGACGACGAGCAUGCAGAUGAGCUACCCUGAGACGGUUUCUGACAGUUUGUGCAGCAGUGAUUCGGUUGUGCAAUAAUAGUAUCAUCAAUCAUGAAUAAUUAAUUAGCUGAAUAAAACCAAGAGGAAGCGAUGCUCCCACAACCCUGCCCUCUCCGUCAGAACCUUUAGUCCCGCUCUGAGACGUCUUUCUGUCCAUCUCUUGAGGAAUGAGUCCAAAAGCACCAAGGCCUCCUCACCACAGUGUGACACCGACUCCCCAGCUCAGCUAAAACCAUUGACAACUGCAUGCUGUUUUCAAGGGAUUGUUUAAUAAAUGUUAACUAUUUGGUUGCUAUUUCAUCACCUCUUGAAAUGCAUAGAUCAUAAUUAGAAAUACCCUCACGAUAUCUCUCAAUAUUGUCCACCAUUUAAUUGGAUAUUUGAGUGCUAUAAAAAUGUGUACUAUACCUGA